rnacentral:lncRNA from 1 species
ACACGCCCAGAACCACCGCCAGGUACACAAGUCACUGGACAAGGUGGGAAGGCAUCUUACUCAAUCAAUGGACCUUAUUCUAAAGCGGGAAGGGCACUGAGAGUAUAGGGAGGGUAUCUCUCAAAUGAGGAGUCUACGACCUGCUUCAGGGGAAGGCCAACAACUUCUUGGAUUUUAUGACCUGCUUCAGGGGAGAAGGACAAGGGAAGUACAGCGCCUACAACAAUGCAAAGGCUAGAAGGAAUGAAGGCAGGGACAUGGAAUGGAGAAUUUCCAUUUCACGGAUCCACAUAAACUGAAAAGGAACAAGAGUCGGUGAGACCAAAGAGCACUGAAGGCCAUGAACCACCACCAUUCUCAACCCCUGGGCCAGGCAAGAAAAGCCACGGUUCCUGGAAGGGAUGACGACAGACACAGUGACCAAAGCUACAGGGGCCUCCAGAGGAAACGGUGAGAACCACAGGAGAAAGGGGGUCUUUGCUGCUGACGGCGAGCACCCAAGCCCAAGCUCCCAGUGGUGAUCUCUCACAAGACCACACAGCCGAUUUCCCUGGAGACAGCACAACCUGUUAAGGGCAUCUUCCAUGCCAUUAAGGGCUUACUGAAUUAUUUUCAUCCAUGCCCUUUUAAAAUAUGGUUGGUAGAAAUUUGCCAUUUGAGACUAGAAUCCCAUUCGGAAUCAUGUAAGUCUCUUUUGACUCCACGAGGACAUCUUUCACCCAGUUUUGGGAAAUCUGAGGAAUGGAUUCUUCUACAGACUGAUAAAAUAUCACAAGGUCCAAGAGUUUGUGUGAGAAAGAGGACAUCAAGUGAUGGAUGUGAACGUGGUAGACAUACAAUGGAAGGCAAGAAGGUAUCUCAACACAGCAGAACAAGACCCCAUGAGGAGCCCAGAAAAAAAAUAAAGAAGGUUCCUCACUGGUUAGGAAUUCAAAAGCAGUCCUGGCAACCUCAUAGCAUCUUUACCUCAGAAGCAGGCAGCUCUGGUUACUCCACCAUUUUCAGGAACAAGGUUUUUCUCUCCCCCUCUGCUGCAUUUCCUCUGCGGCUCCUGAUCCAUCUGCCUCUACCUUCUUCCUAGCAUCAAAUUUCCUCCCAGGAGACAACAUGAAUGGGUUAAGAAGUACCCAAUGAGGGCUGCUCCAACUGGACAGCAUCUUUGAAACUGGGACCUCACAGAUGGUCAUCACAGGCCCCUGAUGCCUGGGUACCCAGCGACCAACCCCAGUCUAGUCUGUCUAUAGCAACAUAGGUGAAGGGGAGUCUCAGGGGCUGCCUAAAGGGCUCAGAAUGUGGUGAGUACUUAAGACUGCAUGGAUUUUCACUGUUUACAUGAAUAUAGGACAAGUAUUCACAGAACUAUUAGCUAGAUCUGUGAACAAAACAUUAAUAACAUUGUAUGUCCAUGUCUGAACCCCUGAAAUUCCAACAACCACCACCCGCCUACCAACUUGCAGCAAACCGGCUCUCUCCACAGUCUUCCCCAGAUCAGGGAGAAACAAUUCCAUCCUUCCAGUACUCAGACUGUAAAACUGGAUUCAUUCUGAUUCCUCUCUCACACAUCCCACACCUGAUCUGACAGGAAAUCCUAUAAACUCUGCCAUUAAAAUAUAUCCAGAAACAGGCCAGGCACAAUGGCUCAUGCCUCUAAUCCCAGCACUUUGGGAGGUCGAGGCGGGCGGAUCAUGAGGUCAGGAGUUCGAGACCAGCUUGGCCUACAUGGCAAAACCCUGUCUCUACUAAAAAUACAAAAAUUAGCUAGGUGUGGUGAUGCACACCUGUAAUCCCAGCUACUUGGGAGGCUGAGCUAGGAGAAUCACUUGAACCCGGGAGGCACAGGCUGCAGUAAGCCAAGAUCGUGCCACUGCACUCCAGCCUGGGCGACAGAGUAAGACUCUGUCUCAAAAAAAAAAAAUAUAUAUAUAUAUAUAUAUAUGUCCAGUAAUGUGCAACUUUCACAGUCUCCACCAGGAUCAUCACAGUCUAACCACUGCUUCCUCCAGCCUGAACUUACUGCAAGAGGCCACUCACUGGUCUCCAGGCAUCCACUCUUGCUUCCCCCACGCACCCCACCACCAGUGUCUAUUCUCAACAGAGCAGCCAAAAUUGUCCUUUUAAACAUUGGUUGGAUUGUGUCUUCUGUCUGUUCAAAACUCUCCAGUAUGUCCACAUGGAUCUCAAAAUAAAACCAAAGUUCUGGCCAGGCACAGUGGUUCGUGUCUGUAAUCCCAGCACUUUGGGAGGCUGAGAAGGGAGGGUGGCUGGAGCCCAGGAAUUCAAGACCAGCCUGGGCAACAUGGCAAAACCCCAUCUCUCCAAAAAAUACAGAAAUUUGCUAGGCGAGGUGAUGUGUGUUUGUAGUCCCACCUACUCAGGAGGCUGAGGUGGAAGGAUCACUUGAACCCAGGAGGUUGAGGCUGCAAUGAGCUGUGAUCACGUCACUGCACUCCAGCCUGGGUGACAGAAUGAGACUCUGCCAAAAAAAAAAAUUCAAAGUUCUUACCACAGCCUACAAGACCUGCCAUGACCUGGUCCUUCCUACCACCUGUCUCAUCUUUGCACUCUCACUCACUCUGUACCAACCACACUGGCCUCCUGGAUGUUUCUGGAACAUACCAAACAUGCUCUAAUCACCAGUCUUUGCACUGGAUUUUUCUUCAUUCUGGGAUGUUCUUCCCUUGGAACUCCACAGGGCUAACCCCCACAGUUCCUGCACAUCUAUCAAUGAUGUUUAACAAACCACCCCACUUCGCCUCUGCAGUAUUCCCAAUCGCCACACCUGCCCUGUGUGGUAUUUUAUCACAUACCAUGUAAUUAACUUAUUUGCUAUCUUUAGGAAAAGGGUUUUUUUUUAAAUUUUUUGUUUGCAUGUUUUGUUUUCUUUUUGCUUUUGGUAUCUCUUCCCCUGGUAGAAUGAAAGCUCCGUGAGAAAACCUAGACGAAUCUCUGAAACUUAAUGCUCAAUAAAUGUUUGUUGGUGAAUGCCUGAUUUACAGGACAGCUGAAGCAGUUUAUUAAUUUAGAAGAGCUUAUUAAUUUAGAAGUUAUCAACUAUUGUAAAACUUCCACUGCAGUUUGAAGUUUGAUGUGAUGGGUUGAAAAAAACCACAAUUAGCAAAGUGCACUCUCCUUUUUUUCUAUUUAUCUUCUAAUCACCAGUCUGCUCUGAUGCUGAUUGACACACAGAUACUGAUGUGUUGUUUCCCAUAAAUUCACAAGCCAGUGAGUCAGUCCUUCAGGUAAUAAACAGAUGGCUGUCGGCCAGGUGAGAUGAAAAGGCAUGGUUGCCAUCCUCGAGGAAUUUACGUGUAGCAUGCGUGAUUUAUUGCACUAAGGUAUAAAUAUAAGGUAUAAGAAAUAUCUUACUGGUUUGUUGUGGUGGUUUCUUGUGAUUUUUUCUGUCUCUAAAUAAAAUUAAAUCUGCUCCAUUCCCUCUG